UACAGAGGUCCCAAGCGUUGUUCGGAUUUAUUGGGCGUAAAGGGUGCGUAGGCGGCGGAGUAGUUGGGUGUGAAAUCCCGGGGCUCAACCUCGGAAUUGCAUUCAAUACUGCUUCGCUCGAGUACUGGAGAGGAGACUGGAAUUUACGGUGUAGCAGUGAAAUGCGUAGAUAUCGUAAGGAAGGCCGGUGGCGAAAGCGAGUCUCUGGACAGUUACUGACGCUGAUGCACGAAGGCCAGGGGAGCAAACGGG
rnacentral:rRNA from 1 species